UACGUAGGGUGCAAGCGUUGUCCGGAAUUAUUGGGCGUAAAGAGCGUGUAGGCGGCCAAACAGGUCCGUUGUGAAAACUGGAGGCUCAACCUCCAGACGUCGACGGAAACCGUGUGGCUAGAGUCCGGAAGAGGAGAGUGGAAUUCCUGGUGUAGCGGUGAAAUGCGCAGAUAUCAGGAAGAACACCAAUGGCGAAGGCAGCUCUCUGGGGACGGUACUGACGCUGAGACGCGAAAGCGUGGGGAGCAAACAGG
rnacentral:rRNA from 1 species